rnacentral:sRNA from 1 species
CAUUAUUUUGCAGGUGAAGUACCAGUUCUAAAUGUCAGUUAUAAGCCACAGAAAAUUAGUCCCAAAUCAACUGUGAGUUAUUAUUUUUUAUAUGGUUACUAAAGAAAAUUUUGUAUAUAUGCCUAUAGCUUUCAUCUUUUACUAUAUUAAAAUUUUUCUCCAAAUUAGAUUCUAUACAGUUUUAUUGAUAGUUGCAAACAAAGGUAUUAAGAGUCCAAUCCUUGAUUCAUAUCCACUGCUAAGAAAGUGCUUUAAAGAUGUUUGUCAUCUUUGGCCGGCAGUGAGCAGUAGCUCACGCCUGUAAUCCCAACACUUCAGGAGGCCUAGGCCAGCGGAUCAUGAGGUCAGGAGAUCAAGACCAUCCUGGCUAACAUGGUGAAACCUUGUCUCUACUAAAAAUACAAAAAACUAGCCGAGCGUGGUGGCGGGCACCUGUAGUCCCAGCUACUCAGGAGGCUGAGGCAGGAGAAUGGCGUGAACCUGGGAGGCGGAGCUUGCAGUGAGUGGAGACUGCACCACUACACUCCAGCCUGGGUGACAGAGCAAGACUCUGUCUCAAAAAAAAAAGAGAUGUUUGUCAUUUUUUUGCUAAAUAAAUAAUUAAAAACCUAAUGUAUUUUGUGCCACAAUUGACAACAGCAAGAAGGUGAAAAGGCUAUUCCCACAAGAUGGGAGAAACAUUUGCACAUCAUAUAUCCAAUAAAGGACUUGUAUCCAGCAUAUAUAAAGAACUCUUACAAUUAAAAAUGAGCAAAUGUCUUUUAGUUAUUCAGCCAUAAAAAGAAAUGAAAUAUUAACAAAUGCCACAGUCCUUGAAACCAUUAUGUUAAAGUUAACCUCCUUUGAUUUCUACAGGUGUUGUAAUGAACGCCUCAGUACCUCAACAUUCAAUAAAUGUUUUAUCUGCUUGGCUUAGCUUACCAUAAAAGUUUUGUCGUUGAUGCUCUCUGUAAGCUUAGCUUUAAAUUCUAAAAUUCAGCCUUAUCCUGAAACAGCAAGGAAAAGUCAUCUUAGGAUUCAUCCCUAGCACAUUAUCAUGCAUUUUGUGUUCUCUUACUGAUUGCCUAAGGUUGCUUGAUACCCACUUUGACCUUUGGAAUUUCUACUCUCAAAUGAUUUUUCCCCUGAAACAUUCAUUAUUUGCUUAUUACUUUCUAAUUUUAAAAUUAUUAUUGCGGGGCUGUGGAGUGGGAAAAAAAAAAAAAGAUUGUUGCAGGCUGGGGACAGUAGCUCACGCAUGUAAUCCCAGCACUUUGGGAGGCCAAGGCAGGAGGGUCACUUGAGCCCAAGAGUUUAAGACCAGCCUGACCAACAUAGAUCCCGCCUCCACAAAAACUUAAAAAUUGGUUCAGCAUGGUGGUGCAUGCCUGUAGUUCCAGCUCCUCUAGAGGCUGAAGUGGGAGGAUCACUUGAGCCUGGGAGGUUGAUGCUGCAGUGAGCCCUGAUCAUGCCAUUGCACACCUGGGCAAUGGAGCAAGAUCCUGUCUCAAAAGAAAAAAAAAUUCCUUUUUACUUGUUGGACAUGAUGGGUUUUGAAUAGAAAAUCUCAAAACAUGUCAUAGAUGGUGGAUACACAUUGAUAUCUGUUGGUGGCAAAUUGAUAUACUUUUAUUCUGAAGCUUAACUUUGUCAAGAUUCGUAAAUAGAAGAGUUCUGUAGUGAAAUUUUAUCAUUUAAAUACUUUUUUAUAUUAAAAACAGGGAAGUGUUCGCCAGUUACUACAUGAAAAGAUAAGAGAUGCUUAUACUCAUCCACAAUUUGUGACCGAUGUAAUGAAGCCUCUGCAAAUUGAAAACAUCAUUGAUCAAGAGGUGCAGACAUUAUCUGGUGGUGAACUACAGCGAGUAGCUUUAGCCCUUUGUUUGGGCAAACCUGCUGAUGUCUAUUUAAUUGAUGAACCAUCUGCAUAUUUGGAUUCUGAACAAAGACUGAUGGCAGCUCGAGUUGUCAAACGGUAAAUAUCUUGCUCAUAGCUGUAUUUUGAUUAUACUGUCCUACAAGUGUGCUUAAUAUAACAGUCGAAUGUUUUAUGAUAUAAAGCUAUAAGAUUUCAAAAUCACUGUGUUUUAGUUUCAUACUCCAUGCAAAAAAGACAGCCUUUGUUGUGGAACAUGACUUCAUCAUGGCCACCUAUCUAGCGGAUCGCGUCAUCGUUUUUGAUGGUGUUCCAUCUAAGAACACAGUUGCAAACAGGUAAAAUUACUUUUUAAUAUGUUCAAAGUAAUUCAUUUUAAAUUUUCCAGUAAAUAGUAAAGUCACUCACUUUAAUUUUUAAAAAAUGAAAGCUAGAAAUUCUAGACUUGAUUCUGUGACUCCUGAGAUCAUUGGUAUUGGGGACUGGAUGGGACCAUGUGAAAGAGUAGUUUUUAGGCUUCAGUGUGGAAUCCCUCACCAGAAAGAUAAAAAGCUGUAGGCCACAGCAUAAAAAGCUAUGGGUCCCUCACUUUUCUUUCAGCUUAACUUUUGUUUGCUUUAUUAUUUGAAUUUCCCAAAAAAGAUUGAAAACUAUUGCUUUCGUACAUGAU